GAACUGUGAGCAAACUCUGGUUCAGACAUGCUACCCAUUGAUCAGGGACUGAUGUGGGUGAUCUGGCUGACUAGGCAGGUGCUGCUUCCCCCCUCUCUCCACUUCACAUGAGCACCAUUCUUGGUCCAAGAAGAGACAGAGGAGGAACAUUCUUCAGGGAAGGGACUAGCAAUGCUUCCCUUCUAGAACAAACUUGCGAUAUCUAUUUCAAGAGAAUGUCGCUUAGUUCUCAGGAACCUUGGCACAUCUAAAUGAGUUAUAUACACGUGUCAGUGUCCCUUU
rnacentral:sRNA from 14 species